rnacentral:rRNA from 1 species
CAGUCGCCGCGGUAAUACGGAGGGAGCUAGCGUUGUUCGGAAUUACUGGGCGUAAAGCGCGCGUAGGCGGUUACUCAAGUCAGAGGUGAAAGCCCGGGGCUCAACCCCGGAACUGCCUUUGAAACUAGGUGACUAGAAUCUUGGAGAGGUCAGUGGAAUUCCGAGUGUAGAGGUGAAAUUCGUAGAUAUUCGGAAGAACACCAGUGGCAAAGGCGACUGACUGGACAAGUAUUGACGCUGAGGUGCGAAAGCGUGGGGAGCAAACAGGAUUAGAUACCCCCGUAGUCCCUGUCUCUUAUAC